rnacentral:rRNA from 1 species
CACCCAGGACGGUGGAUCACUCGGCUCGUGGGUCGAUGAAGAACGCAGCAAAUUGCGCGUCGACAUGCGAACUGCAGGACACAUGAACAUCGACGUUUCGAACGCACAUUGCGGUCCAUGGAUUCCGUUCCCGGGCCACGUCUGGCUGAGGGUCG